CCUACGGGAGGCUGCAGUGGGGAAUAUUGGACAAUGGGGGCAACCCUGAUCCAGCCAUGCCGCGUGUGUGAAGAAGGCCCUCGGGUUGUAAAGCACUUUCAGUGAGGAAGAACGCCUGGUGGUUAAUACCCAUCAGGAAAGACAUCACUCACAGAUGAAGCACCGGCUAACUCCGUGCCAGCAGCCGCGGUAAUACGGAGGGUGCGAGCGUUAAUCGGAAUUACUGGGCGUAAAGCGCGCGUAGGUGGCUUGAUAAGCCGGUUGUGAAAGCCCCGGGCUCAACCUGGGAACGGCAUCCGGAACUGUCAAGCUAGAGUGCAGGAGAGGAAGGUAGAAUUCCCGGUGUAGCGGUGAAAUGCGUAGAGAUCGGGAGGAAUACCAGUGGCGAAGGCGGCCUUCUGGACUGACACUGACACUGAGGUGCGAAAGCGUGGGUAGCAAACAGGAUUAGAUACCCUUGUAGUC
rnacentral:rRNA from 1 species